CAGAAGUCCCAAGCGUUGUUCGGAUUCACUGGGCGUAAAGGGUGCGUAGGUGGUCAGGUAAGUCGGAUGUGAAAUCUCCGAGCUCAACUCGGAAACUGCAUUGGAAACUACCUGGCUCGAGGGUUGAGGGGGGACUGGAAUGCUUGGUGUAGCAGUGAAAUGCGUAGAUAUCAAGCGGAGCACCAGUGGCGAAGGCGAGUCCCUGGACAACUCCUGACACUGAUGCACGAAAGCUAGGGGAGCAAACAGGAUUAGAUACCCUGGUAGUCCUAGCCGUAAACGGUGCACGUUUGCUGUAAAAGGAAUCGACCCCUUUUGUGGCGUAGCCAACGCGUUAAACGUGCCGCCUGGGAAGUACGGUCGCAAGAUUA
rnacentral:rRNA from 1 species